ACGUAGGGUGCAAGCGUUACCCGGAUUUAUUGGGCGUAAAGAGUGCGUAGGCGGUUUUGAAAGUCAUUAUUGAAAUCUUGGGGCUCAACCCCAAGCCUGGUAGUGAUACUUCAAGACUAGAUUACUUGAGGGGGUACCGGAACAGUUAGUGGAGCAGUGAAAUGCGUUGAGAUUAACUGGGACACCAAAGGCGAAGGCAGGUACCUGGCAAGUUUAUGACGCUGUUGCACGAAAGCGUGGGGAGCAAAACGGAUUAGAUACCCGUGUAGUCCACGCUGUAAACGAUGGACACUAGAUAUCAGGCUGGUUGACGGCUUGGUGUCGUAAGCUAACGCGUUAAGUGUCCCGCCUGGGGAGUACGGCCGCAAGGCUA
rnacentral:rRNA from 1 species